rnacentral:rRNA from 1 species
GAUGAACGCUGGCGGCGUGCCUAAUACAUGCAAGUCAAGCGAACAGACGAGGAGCUUGCUCCUCUGAUGUUAGCGGCGGACGGGUGAGUAACACGUGGAUAACCUACCUAUAAGACUGGGAUAACUUCGGGAAACCGGAGCUAAUACCGGAUAACAUGUUGAACCGCAUGGUUCAACAGUGAAAGACGGUCUUGCUGUCACUUAUAGAUGGAUCCGCGCCGCAUUAGCUAGUUGGUAAGGUAACGGCUUACCAAGGCAACGAUGCGUAGCCGACCUGAGAGGGUGAUCGGCCACACUGGAACUGAGACACGGUCCAGACUCCUACGGGAGGCAGCAGUAGGGAAUCUUCCGCAAUGGGCGAAAGCCUGACGGAGCAACGCCGCGUGAGUGAAGAAGGUCUUCGGAUCGUAAAACUCUGUUAUUAGGGAAGAACAAAUGUGUAAGUAACUAUGCACGUCUUGACGGUACCUAAUCAGAAAGCCACGGCUAACUACGUG